AGCAGCAGUGGGGAAUCUUGGACAAUGGGCGCAAGCCUGAUCCAGCCAUGCCGCGUGAGUGAUGAACGGCCCUAGGGUCGUAAAGCUCUUUCGCCAGGGAUGAUAAUGACAGUACCUGGUAAAACGAAAACCCCCGGCUAACUCCGUGCCAGCAGCCGCGGUAAUACGGAGGGGUUAGCGUUGUUCGGAAUUACGUGGGCGUAAAGCGCGCGUAGGCGGAUUAGUCAGUUAGAGGUGAAACGUCCCCGGGGCUCCAAACCCCGGAACUGUCCUUUAAUACUGCUAGUCUUGAGUUCGAGAGAGGUGAGUGGAAUUCCGAGUGUAGAGGUAGAAAUUCGUAGAUAUUCGGAGGAACCACCAGUGGCGAAGGCGGCUCACUGGCUCGAUACUGACGCUGAGGUGACGAAAGUGUGGGGAGCAAACAGGAUUAGAUACCCUGGUAG
rnacentral:rRNA from 1 species